rnacentral:rRNA from 1 species
GACGAACGCUGGCGGCGUGCUUAACACAUGCAAGUCGAGCGGAGCGGCACACGGGUGAGUAACGCGUGAGUAACUGCCCCCCUCUCUGGGAUAACAGUUGGAAACGGCUGCUAAUACCGGAUAGUGGGGGAUGGCUCGCGUCCUAUCAGCUUGUGGGUGGGGUAGUGGCCUACGAAGGCGACGACUGGUAGCCGGCCUGAGAGGGCGACCGGAGACAUUGGGCUGAGAGACGGCCCGAACUCCUACGGGAGGCAGCAGUGGGGAAUAUUGCACAAUGGGGGAAACACGGAUGCAGCAACGCCGCGUGCGGGAGGACGGCCUUCGGGUUGUAAACCGAUUUCAGCCAUGACGCGGUAGUUGCAGAAGAAGCACCGGCUAACUACGUGCCAGCAGCCGCGGUAAUGC